AUCUCCCCUAAAAUUGAAUUUGAUGAGUCCACGCCGAAAUCAAAUUCUCCAAUCAACUUAUAUUAGCAUGCAGAAUCGGAACGAACACGUGGAUUUGUUCAAGUGAUUCAUGUUGAUUAAAUAAGCAAGACUUAGAAGAGCACUUACUAAUUCGAAUCUCCGAAGUGGUGGCUCUCCGGUGAUGGUGCAGGUUAUGCUACGAAGGAAUCCAGUUUUGUUUCUAUUGAAGAAAUUCGACACGUUCAAUCAUGUUAUGCAGGGAAAAAGGAUAUCUUGUGUUAACCUUCACUUCUGUUUUGUCACAAAUUGAUUCUGCUAUCUGGUGUAGCAGCUAUGCAGAUUCGACUUGUGCUUAUGGAAUGGGAGUUGAACAUGUUGCUUGGAUUGCAUUGAGUUUGCUGCUCCUGGCUUGAUGGGCUAACUUUUGAAACUUCAAUGCAGGAUUAUGCUGGGUGGUAACAUGAUGCUGUAGAAACAAUAUAGUUACGAUAUGCAUGAAAUGCCAUCAUGGUUCAUGUGAUUAGGAUAGGUUAAGUAGUUUGAUGGUACUUUUAGGUUAGGCAUUAGAACCUUAGGUUAGAUGUUAGUUUGUGCUUGUUUUGGAUUUGUAAAUUUGUAAUGCAUUGCCAUGGAUGGAAUGGAAGUUAUGUAUUGAAAUAACUUUGUAAAUGAAAAGUUUGAAAGUUGAAUGCAUGGAAAGUUUAUAUUGAA